GGGCGUGUAGCUCAGUUGGUUAGUAGCGCGUCCCUGAUAAGGACGAGGUCCCUGGUUCGAGUCCUGGCCCGCCCACCA
rnacentral:tRNA from 1 species